UACGUAGGGGGCAAGCGUUGUCCGGAAUCAUUGGGCGUAAAGAGCGUGUAGGCGGCUCGAUAAGUCUGCUGUGAAAAGUCCAGGGCUCAACCCUGGAAAGCCGGUGGAUACUGUCGGGCUAGAGUCCGGAAGAGGCGAGUGGAAUUCCUGGUGUAGCGGUGGAAUGCGCAGAUAUCAGGAGGAACACCGAUGGCGAAGGCAGCUCGCUGGGACGGUACUGACGCUGAGGCGCGAAAGCGUGGGGAGCGAACAGG
rnacentral:rRNA from 1 species